rnacentral:rRNA from 1 species
UGGGGAAUAUUGCACAAUGGGCGCAAGCCUGAUGCAGCCAUGCCGCGUGUGUGAAGAAGGCCUUCGGGUUGUAAAGCACUUUCAGCGGGGAGGAAGGCGAUAAGGUUAAUAACCUUGUCGAUUGACGUUACCCGCAGAAGAAGCACCGGCUAACUCCGUGCCAGCAGCCGCGGUAAUACGGAGGGUGCAAGCGUUAAUCGGAAUUACUGGGCGUAAAGCGCACGCAGGCGGUCUGUCAAGUCGGAUGUGAAAUCCCCGGGCUCAACCUGGGAACUGCAUUCGAAACUGGCAGGCUAGAGUCUUGUAGAGGGGGGUAGAAUUCCAGGUGUAGCGGUGAAAUGCGUAGAGAUCUGGAGGAAUACCGGUGGCGAAGGCGGUCCCCUGGACAAAGACUGACGCUCAGGUGCGAAAGCGUGGGGAGCAAACAGG